AUGUCAGAUGCUGUCUCGUGGCCAAACAACCUUGCUUGGAGGUGUGCUGAAAUGCAUGUUUUUUAUUAGUAUCAUUAGUAUAUUUACUGAAAAGGUUUCUUUCUGAAUUAUGUAUUAAGGGUUUUUUUUUUUUUUUUUUUUUUUCCCGUCUUAAGCCUCUACUGGACCAGCACAAAGGGUGGUGGAAGAACCUCAUGAUGCUGAAACAGCAAAGAAGGCCAUGGAGCAGAGUCAGCCUGACCCCCAGCCUCAUCCCAUGCCCCUGCCCCGGCCCCAGCCUACUGCACCUGUGGAAGCAAGAGCUGCAACACAAUUUUCAAUGGUAAGAAUUACUAUUUAACUUUUUUAAUAAUACCACUUAAGAAUGUGCUCAAUUAAAAUUCAAGAAAGUUCAGAACGUAAGAUGAAGAAAAAAAGAAAAAGCAAGAAUGCUAUGAGAUGCUGGCUGAGACCUACUAAUUGUCACCCCUCUUGUACAGUGGGGGCACCUGUUGUCUGCUGAAUGGUCAGUUUGAAUAUCUCAGAUUUGGUUUAAGUCACAUGGUCAAGGAUAAAUGUAGAAUGUAACCUGUUUGCUUUCUCUCUUGAGACUAGACUCAUGUCCCUCAUGGCAUCCCUCUCAAUACUUCUCAUGUGUUAAAGCUACAUUAUCUUUCUUUCUCAAUCUCAGAUUUACUGGCUCUCACAUUGCUGCAGCAAAGCCAAAUCUUAGUGUGGUCAGGAGACCUUCUCAGGUUGAAGACCAACCCAGCGCAGCAGUGUCUUGUGCCUCUAUACCAAGCAGUACUGUCUCUGGUGUGCCAGUGUUCCAGGGUCUACAAAUGGUUCAAAGACUGUCAGCGGUCCAUAGGAUGCCACUGUUACAGCCUAUUUUGCAGAGCACCAAUUCACAACCAGCUCCACAAACCAUGCCCAAGAGACCCUACAAGGCAAACACUUGCAGGAAGUGUGGAAAAUUCAAAAUCAGUGCAACGGGACAUAGCCAGUACAGGGGCAAGGUGUAUAUACUGUCCACAGACUGAGAACAUUACAAAAGAAAAGUGGUUAGAGUAAAUCCGGAGAACCUUCUCCCAAAUAAUGUAUACACUGUAUAUUUUUAUUUAUUGUUGUGUGUAUAUAGUUGUUUAAAUAUAGUUCACUAUUGUUAAUAUUUGUGUCUAACAUUAUUUUAUUUA